rnacentral:rRNA from 1 species
CUACGGGCCGCUCCAGUAGGGAAUAUUGGACAAUGGGCGAAAGCCUGAUCCAGCAACGCCGCGUGUGCGAUGACGGCCUUCGGGUUGUAAAGCACUUUUAGGGGAGAUGAGAAAGGACAGUAUCCUCAGAAUAAGCCUCGGCGAACUACGUGCCAGCAGCCGCGGUAAAACGUAGGAGGCAAGCGUUAUCCGGAUUUAUUGGGCGUAAAGCGCGUGCAGGCGGUCUAGCAAGUUGGAUGUGAAAGCUCCCGGCUUAACCGGGAGAGGUCGUUCAAUACUGUUAGACUAGAGAAUGGGAGAGGGAGGUGGAAUUCUGGGUGUAGUGGUGAAAUGCGUAGAUAUCCAGAGGAACACCAGUGGCGAAAGCGGCCUCCUGGACCAUUUCUGACGCUAAGACGCGAAAGCUAGGGUAGCAAACGGGAUUAGAUACCCGUGUAGUC